rnacentral:tRNA from 1 species
GCUGGUUGCUCAGUGUUUAAGCACUUGGCUGCUAACCGAAAGACUGGUGGUUCAAAUCCACCAGCUGCU